rnacentral:lncRNA from 1 species
GAGGGUGGCAGGAAGGGGUUGGGGGUCUGGUUUCUCACUCUUCUUCCUAAAUGAGCACUCUUUUUCCUGGAAGCCAUCUGUAAGGAUGUAAAUGAGAAGUGCCUGGACACCUUGUAUAGGGAUAUUCUUUUUGCACGCUGUGCAAAGAUUAUCUCUGUAUUAUGCAAAUGCUUAUUUCUGUUCCAGCAGAAAUCUGACUACAGGCCAGACUUUGGUAUUGUUAUUCCAAUCGUUGAGUGGAACCUGCACACAUUUUGUAAACACUUCCUCUCUCCCCUUCCCACUGGUUUUAAUACAAAGCCUGUUGUGGUGGCCGAUGCCGGUAGGACUCACCAGCCUGAGGAAGAAGCGGGCCCCAGUACUGGAGACCGAGAGGAAACAAGCCACAUGGCAGACAGAGGAAGAAAAGAGAAGAGACAGCAGAGCGACAGAAGACAUGGCCUGGAGACACAGGUGCUAGGACCAUCAGGAGAGGAACAAUGGCCAUUUUGCACAAAGUAAAUGGAGCCCCUCGGCGGAGGCGCCUUUCCUUACACCUCCGAUGCGUGCCGCAGAGGAACAAGUGGGCUUCCGUGGCACACGGCAGAUGAGGGCUCGCAGAAAGAGCAUUCGGAAGGUUUCCCAGCACCGUGUAGCCUGUACCGAGGGUAGGGAGGGAUGAGAGGGGCCUCCGCCUUUCUUAGACAAGGAUCCCAGAGGCCAACAGUUCUAGAUUAUCCUGACUAGUUCUCUGCAAGUCCUGAGAGUUCUUGUGAGUGCUAGCUCCAUGUGACCUGACCCUUCUGUGAAGGCCUAUAGUGUUCACCCUGUCCCCGUCUCUGAGACACUUCUCAGUCACAGAAAUAUAAAUACCCUUAUUCAUUGGCUUGGUCCCUCACCAUCCCUGCUUGCCCUAGACUGGGCUCCAGGCACUGGCUCAGAGUCCUUCACUUCAUAAUCUUCUGCUUCGAGGACAUCCUCACUGACCUAAGCUCACUCGGUUUUCAUGUUGGGAUCCAAGGCCCAUGGCACCUCACCCCGCAUUUACCCAGGAACAAUGGCCCAGUAUUGGGUAACUGGGUUCUGGCAAUGACUUUGCAACUUCUUUGAGUAAGAAUUAACUGUCAGCCCAGCCAGUCUUCUAUUGGGUACACAUGUCCCAGGACAUCUGUAGAGACAAGCCCAUACACAUUGAAGAACGUACUCAAAAC